UUUGAAUUUUAACGGCAUCACAGAUGCAGCGCUGCUAAUUGCUCAUUUGCUUAUCUGGAAUGAGUUUUAAAUCUGUGAAAGAAACCUGAAUCAUGGAAACCUCUUGUGCAGCUGAUGAGGGCAGGGUUAGAAAAGCAGCUGCCCGUGGUUUAACCCUCUCAGUGGCAAUUCCUCCCCUUCCCAUUCCAUUGUCCACCUUGCUGCACCUGGGAUAAAAGCAAAGGAUUUAAAAUCUCCACAGCCUUGGUACUCAGAGAGAUGCUCUGAGAGCCUGGCUGGGUUUGGACAUCCCUGGCUGGGCGGUGGGGCAGAGGGGUGGCUCCACUCAUCAAUUAUCUCUCCUGGGUGGGUCUGUGCCGUGGGGAGCCCUGGAAACUACUGCAAGUUGGACAAAACCCUGGGAUUUUCAACUUCUUGGUGAAGCAGAGAGGGAGGCUCAGUCCUUGGCUGAGGGGAGUACCUGGCUCAGCAUUCCUUGUCCCAGAAUAAGGACUCAGCUCCUGCCUUUUUGAGCAGACAGAGAAUCCAACUUCCCUUUGCCCCUCUUUAAACCAGUCCCUGAAUCCACAUUUGACCUCAACUGGUGCACAUUUCUUA
rnacentral:lncRNA from 12 species